rnacentral:tRNA from 2 species
AGGGGCGUAGCCAAGUUGGUAAGGCAGCGGUUUUUGGUACCGCCAUUCGUAGGUUCGAGUCCUGCCGCCCCUGCCA